GGGCAACUAGCGUAGUGGUUAUCGCGUUCGCUUCGCAUCUGAGAGCUACUCCACGGGUUUGCGAAAGGUCUCCGGUUCAAAUCCGGAGUUGUCCA